GCCAGUGUGACAUAGUGGUUUGAGCAUUGGACUGUGAUUCUGGAGACUAGGGUUUGAUUCCCAGCUCAGCCA